CAAGGACCCAGAGUCUGGAGGAAGAAUGGAGAGGCACACACUGCAAGAUGCUUGAAGUCCAGUGUGAAGUUUCCACAGUCUGUGUUGAUUUGGGGAGCCAUGUCAUCUGCUGGUGUUGGUCCACUGUGCUUCAUUAAGUCCAGGGUCAAUGCAGCCGUCUACCAGGAGAUUUUGGAGCACUUCAUGCUUCCUUCCGCAGACGAGCUUUAU